ensembl:lncRNA
GGUAGAAGCCUGUCCUCUGGGCACAUUAGAGAGUGAUUUCAGUUCCUGCAUUCUCUCCAGACAGCUGUACUGGGCUUGUGACUUGAUGUGCCAGCACAUACUUUGUGCCCUUGUUUUCUGCCUCUCUUUUUCUUCCUCCUCUCCAGUGUGAAACCCAUCUCCAGCUUUCCUUGUCAUUGCAACGAAUGGAAGUCUGCGGCUGUGUGCAAAUACUGUCUCUGCAGCAGUACAAGGAGGAUGCGAGGUGCCAGCACUCAUCCCACCACUGAGAGGAGGAUUCGGUUUCUGGCUGCUGUUGGUAAAAGACAGAUGUACAAUACACAAAGCAAGAGCUGACAUUCAGAAUGUGUGUCACCGUUUGCACUGGGCAGCCCUGCCCUCUCAUCUCUCAUUCUCCUGUUUCCAGUUGCUGAACCCAUCCCCAGCCCGUGACUGUCAGCCUUGGUGCUUCCAUGUCUCUCCUGAAUCCACAGUGUGGAAAAACCAGGCCACAAACAUGUUGAGAAGACAGAUGGAUUUCAGCGAGGCUCAGGGGGCUGCAGAGAGGGUCUGGGUACAGGAAAUUGGCAAAGUAGAUGAGGAGAUGGGAGGAAUUUGUGAUGGUAAGGAAGCAGGAGUGGAGGAGGAAGGAUGGGGGAACAGGCUGGUGCAGCAACGGAGAGGUGCAGCUUAGUCUGAGAGCCAGGAAGGGAGGGCAGGAAAGCUCGCGUGGGCUUUGCUGUUGAGGCAAGGAUGAGGAUGGGAUGGGCAUCUUAAUGCUUUGGGAAUGGAAAUGGAAGACUUCUUAAGUCUCAAAUGAUAUCCAGUGGGUGUUUCCUGAGCCAGGAGAUGUCCCACCUUGGCCACCACUAGGAAAAAGAGCAGACAGAGAUGGCAACUCUCUUCUUGUCAACAGCACAAAUUGUCAACAGCACAAAGGGAGUUUUUGAGGAAGAGAUAGCUAACCAGUGAGAAGCAUUGGCUAAAUGGUUACUUAAGAAGAUUCAUUUUUCAAAGCCUGUGGUACUCAUGCACUGGAACUAACAGUUUCCAGGUCCAAUCUCCUGCUGGCGGGAGGACGCUGAGAAGUGCAGCUGACAGAUGGGUGUGCUUGCAGCCAAUCUCCCUGCGGUGCCCUGGCAAUGUACGGUGCAGCGCAGUGGAAAAGCACCGUUCAUGGAACAGACUGGAAACGAGAGCACUGACAGUGAGCUGUACUUGGACCAGCUCAGCCAAGCUGUAUUUCUGCACUGCUUAUAAAACCAGAAUUCAAUUUAUACGUGGAUUCCAGAGUAUCAUCAGGUAGAAAAUAACAACAUGGUCCUAAAUCCUCUUCCCUCCUCUUCACGCAGUCAUAGGGGAGGAUGCUGCAUUACCCCUCGAUGCUAUGGGUGAAUUUCCUUAAGUUUUGUAAGCUGCCAUUUGCAUCCUUUCUUUCCCCUUUUCUAUCACCACAGCUUAUGACAUGUUAACGUUGCUGACAUUGUUCCCAGGUCCAUGGGAUGCCAGUGGGCAUGUCCAUCUUGCCUGGUGCUGCUGCAGUGAAGGACUGCAAACCCACAUGUGCAUUCACGUCUGUAAUGGUUCAGAGACUCCAGAAGAUCAUAUUAAAUUAAAUUAAGGAGAGUAAAAUGUGUAUCAGGGGCAAUAUGAGGUGAUGCUUCAUUUCCAGUGUCCCAACUUGUUAAAAUAAAAAGCAUUCAUUCCAGUUGAAUAUUUAUCACUAAAUUUGAAGCAAAAGUAAAAAUGCCCUUUGGUUUCUCUGCAAGAAAAGUAAAGCCUCAUUGAAAUCUCACCACGGAGGAAUAUUUUUAACAUACAGAAAGUUUCCUGUUUU